UGUCGGAAGAUCAGGUUUCGUUUUCUGGAUGUGCACUCUGUCCUGCUGUGGUCAUCAUCUUUUUCUGCGGUGGGAGAAAGGCAUGAAUAAAUGUCUCUUCUUCUUCGGGAAAAGUGUUAUAGUCUUUUGCUUAGGCUCACCUGCAGAGACUGAGGAAAGCUCCGUUAAAGGGGACGGAUGCUGACUUAAUGGUCUUAAAUGACCCGUCUUGAAACACCGACCAAGGAGUC
rnacentral:rRNA from 1 species